rnacentral:rRNA from 1 species
UACGUAGGGUGCAAGCGUUAAUCGGAAUUACUGGGCGUAAAGCGUGCGCAGGCGGUGAUGUAAGACAGGUGUGAAAUCCCCGGGCUUAACCUGGGAACUGCAUUUGUGACUGCAUCGCUGGAGUGCGGCAGAGGGGGAUGGAAUUCCGCGUGUAGCAGUGAAAUGCGUAGAUAUGCGGAGGAACACCGAUGGCGAAGGCAAUCCCCUGGGCCUGCACUGACGCUCAUACACGAAAGCGUGGGGAGCAAACAGG